rnacentral:rRNA from 1 species
ACCGAUCAGGCUGUUGGUGAGGUAAUGGCCCACCAAACCUGUAACCGGUACGGGCUCUGAGAGGAGGAGCCCGGAGAUGGGUACUGAGACAAGGACCCAGGCCCUAUGGGGCGCAGCAGGCGCGAAACCUCUGCAAUAGGCGAAAGCCUGACAGGGUUAUUCUGAGUGACUUUCGCUAAGAAAGUCUAUUGACACCUCUAAAAAUGGUGUAGAAUAAGGGGUGGGCAAGUCUGGUGUCAGCCGCCGCGGUAAUACCAGCACCCCGAGUGGUCGGGACGAUUAUUGGGCCUAAAGCAUCCGUAGCCGGUUUUACAAGUCCUCCGUUAAAUCCAACUGCUUAACAGAUGGGCCGCGGAGGAUACUAUAAGACUAGGAGGCAGGAGAGGCAAGCGGUACUCAGUGGGUAGGGGUAAAAUCCGCUGAUCCAUUGAAGACCACCAGUGGCGAAGGCGGCUUGCCAGAAUGCGCUCGACGGUGAGGGAUGAAAGCUGGGGGAGCAAACCGGAUUAGAUACCCGGGUAGUCCCAGCUGUAAACGAUGCAGACUCGGUGAUGGACUAGCUUCAUGCUAGUCCAGUGCCGCAGGGAAGCCGUUAAGUCUGCCGCCUGGGUAGUACGGUCGCAAGACUGAAACUUAA